CGUCCGAUGGCACAAGGAGUGCAUCUGCUAGAAUUAAGAGUUAUCGUAUUUAGCUUCUACAGAAAGCUCCCCCGUUCGAUUCGGGGUCGGGCGA